rnacentral:lncRNA from 1 species
AAUCCAGUAAAGCCCUUCGUCUGACCAUUAAAGCCACUUCACACACCAGUGUCAGUUCUUUUUACAGUGUAAAAUCUUAUCCAGGUGUUCUCUUUCCCAGAUCUUCACAUGGAGACUGAGAAGAAUCAGGUCAGACGGUGGAGAGACGAGGACGAGUGUGAGAACCACAGAGAGCAGGUGAUGUGGAGGCUGGAGAGGCUGCUUGGAGACGUCUGUAAAGAAAGACAAAUGGCUGCAGAAACACUCCGUCCAUCAGACAGCAUCCUAACCGAGGACUAUGUCAGACGAUUCGCAGAGGAGAUGUUGGAACCCACCGUGGCAGACGACGACGUCCAAUCACAGCGCAGAGGGGAGGAGUCAGAAGGAACAGUAAAAGCACCAAGUGUUGAGAAAAGACCUUCAAAUCCAAAUAGUGCUGACACUGCAGCUACUGACUGGUCCCAGUUGAACACACCUGUCUCUCACAGGCUCUCUGAGGUUAUUAAAGAGAACCCAACAUUUCAAUACAACAACAACAACAACAGCUGCUCUUCAAAGGCCAGAUGUUUGGCAGGUAUAGCACACAAACACUUACUAACAAACACUCGUGGGAAUAUUCACUCGACACGCUGUGUGCACACUUGUUGUUUUGCUCAUUAGGAGUUCCUGUGAUGAGUUUUUUUGACACGGUGUCCAUUGACAGUGAUGUUGAUACGGUGUGCACAGAACAACUGAGGCAACACACUGACCAGAGAGCAGGAUGGCGCUCUUUCCUUCCAUCUGUCACAGACAUGAAGGAUCACAGUGAGCGUGACACACCUACAUGUGCAGAGGAUGAAGUUCAAUCUGGAGCAGUCCACAGAUAUUCUUCCAGACGUAGCAGAAGGUUUUCUCUUCAUAAAUCUCAACCAAACGGAAGAGAAACAAUGAGACUUGUGUCUUCUUUGAGUGAUGAAGAUGAUGAUGAUGCUGAUGAGCAUGGCAUUUAUGACUGGAGCAGAAUCUUCAGGACUGAGAGGAGAUCUGAUUGGAUACAGAUGAAAGAGCGACUCCUGGACCUGCAGCACGUCGUGGGAGUUAAAGUUGGUGAGCUGCAGGAUGAACUGGUGGAAUCUAAGAUGAGAGUGGCUACUCUGGAACAAAUCUUGUCCACUAAAGAACUGCAGCUUGUGGAUUUACAGCAGCGAUGUGGAGCUGCUCAGACAGAGAGAGACGAACAGAACCAGGAGCUGCAGAACCUGAUGACUCAGCACCUGGUAGAGCUGAGGAAAGCUGAGCAGGAAGUCCACUGCAUGACGGUUUUAAAGCAGGCUGAGGAGGAGAAAGUGACGACUUUAAAGGAGGAAACUCUUUCCCUCGCUCAACACAUUGAAUCGGUGCAAAGUUCACUUCAGCUGAAAGAUCAAGAAAUAUUCAAACUGAAGAAUUCUCUGCAGCAGGACAAAGAAAAGGCAAAGGAACGAGAAGAGGAGCUGAAAGUAGAGGCUUUAGACAAGGUUUACAAAGCAGUAGAAGAAGAGAGGAUCAAAUGGGAGAGUGAGAAAGUGGAGGCAGUACGGAUGCAUUGUGGGAAGCUGGAGGAACGCCAUGAAAAGCUCACGGAACGUCUGAAGUGUGAAAUACAGCAGGAGAAGAGCAAAGCAUGGGAUUUUCAGCGAAAAGUAGCAGAACUAACUGCAAAAAUUGAGGAUUUGGAAAGUCAACACAGUGCUCAGCAGAUAAAGCAGAAGUCUGAGUGGGCCAUUAUUUACACUUCACUGAGAGAGCAGCACCAGAGAUCUCUGAGACACAUGGAGGAGCAACAGCAGGAAACGGAGCUGCGUCUCAAACAGGAAGUUGAGCUGUUGAAGAAGGAGAGCGACAGCCUCCGAUCAUCUCUGCAGGAGAAGCAGAGCAAUCACAACCACAGCAUGGCUGAACUGGAGCAGAAUCACAGAGACUGGGCCCAGCAGGUGGAAGCAGAGUGCCAACAUCUCCAGAUCCUGCUGCAGCACAGUGGACACGAACCAAGUGUUGAGGAACCUCACAGUUUAUCAGCAGAAGACGUUCUUACGCACCUGAAAACUCUCAGAGGGAAGUUUAAGCUGUUUAUCAGACGACUUUACCAACAGCUGGAAUCACAGAGACAGAUCAGUGAGCAUUUAGAGAAAAACAAGGAGCGAGAGCUGCAAAUUCAAAAGCAACAGUUAAGGACGGAGAGAGAUGAAGCUGUGGAUUUUAUCAAAGAGCGUCUCAUUCAAGAGCACAUUGAGGAGUUGAGCCAUCUGAAGAAGGUCCACGUGCAGGAUGGAGGUGCCCAGGGAGAAGAAGGAGUAGCAGCGUCCCUACGGAGGCAGCUGAAGGCCAAAGACGUGGAGCUGAGGCAGGUUCAGAGGAGCAUGUCUCAGUGGAAACAACAAACUGCAGCUCGACUGGCACGCAGGUUUGAAGAAGAGCUGACAUCAGAACUGGAAAGGUACUUCAGGAAAGUCUUGGAGUUUAUGGAAUUUCUAUUUUACAUUGAAAAAUAUUCAUUGCUCAGCAGUUUAUUUGGUGUUUGAUCCACUUCCUGUGCAAAUCUCAGGUGCAAGACAAAGCUGUUCAGGGACAGGUAAUAUUUCACCCUGUCUAAGGCGGGGGUUCUCAACCUUGGGGUCAGGACCUCAUUUGGGGUUGUGAGACACAAUAUUUUUUGAACCCUUUGAGCCCGUUUUUGCUCAUUUUUUACCCUUUCUUGUAACUACACCAAACUUGCCAUAUUUGACCCUAUUUCCAUCACUUUUUCUUGCCAUAUUUUUGCUCCUUUUAAUACAUUUUUGCUACAUUACUCCCAUUUCUGCCACUUCUCAGUCAAACUUCAAACCUUUUCUGCACAUUUUCAGCACCUUUAAACCCUUUUCAC